UCGGGAAUUUUGGGCAAUGGGCGAAAGCCUGACCCAGCAACGCCGCGUGAAGGAUGAAGUAUUUCGGUAUGUAAACUUCGAAAGAAUAGGAAGAAUAAAUGACGGUACUAUUUAUAAGGUCCGGCUAACUACGUGCCAGCAGCCGCGGUAAUACGUAGGGACCAAGCGUUGUUCGGAUUUACUGGGCGUAAAGGGCGCGUAGGCGGCAAUUCAAGUCAUCUGUGAAAUCUCCGGGCUUAACUCGGAACGGUCAGAUGAUACUGCUUUGCUAGAGUGCAGAAGGGGCAAUCGGAAUUCUUGGUGUAGCGGUGAAAUGCGUAGAUAUCAAGAGGAACACCUGAGGUGAAGACGGGUUGCUGGGCUGACACUGACGCUGAGGCGCGAAAGCCAGGGGAGCAAACGGGAUUAGAUACCCCCGUAGUCCCUGAGCGGGCUGG
rnacentral:rRNA from 1 species